CACCCCCUCACCCAACCGCAGCCCAACCACCCAAACCCUAACCCACAGCCGCACUCCUCCUUCCUCACCCGCACUCCUCCUCCCUCGGCUCCUCGCCGCCGCCACCUCCUCCCCGUCCCGCAGCGGCGCCCACCGCGUCACCUGCCGGCCGCCGUCGCGGGUGGCUGCGUCCGCGGCGACGACGGCGGCCUCGUCGUCCUCGGAGGCCGCGGUCGGUCGUCUCCCCAUCCGCCUCUCUCCCCACAGUCGAGACAGACAAGCGCGGACAGAGCCAAGGAACCAUGGGCUCCUUCCUGUCGUCCUUGUGGACCCCUCCCCCGCUCCCCGGCGACGACCUCGACUCCGUCGUCGCCGCCGUCCACUCCAAGCCCGCCUGGGACAAGCACUGGGAGGAACACCGGAACGCGUCCAAGCUGAUGGUCAUCGACUUCUCCGCCUCCUGGUACGGGCCCUGCCGCUUCAUCGAGCCCGCUCAAGGAGAUGGCCUCCCGCUUCGCCGACGCCCUCUUCGUCAAGAUCGACGUCGACGAGCUCGCACAGAGGACAAGGGCUUCAUGGCCAACCAAGGCGCAUGGUGCUCGCAAGCGACGAAUGGAAGUUGUUCGGCAUAGGCACGGAGGAGGAGGAGGAGCGGCACGGACGGAGGAGGACAGAGCACCUCUCUUCUUCUACGUUCUUCUCCAUACCUUCACUUCUUGUAUGUGCUUGUGCUGCAGCUCACCCAUGGUCUUGUUUGUCCUGCAGGUUAGUGAGCAGCAUCAGGAGGAGGAGCUCAAGCACGACCACCAAGAGGCACCAUCGCAGCAGCAGAUGAGUCUGUCGAUGAAGCGGCAGCGUCUCCUCUAGAGGGUGACGGUGGCGGCGGCGCCGGCGCCUGUGUGCGGCUUCGACUACAACCUCCUCUCCGGUGCCACUGGACGCAAGGGUGGAGCCUAUGCCUCCUUGCUGAAGCUUCUCGCUCUACACCAGUUUAUGGUGCUGCGGAUGUGGUUAAGAUGGCGUUCUACACUAUGCUUCUUAUGUUGCAUGUGAAUGGGGGUGAGUAGAUAGAACUGGAGUGUUCUUAUAUGAAGGCAAGUUGUUGCAUCUGGAGCACAUGAGAUGUGCUAAUGCGAGUUGGAACAAUGUGAUGUAGUAGGGCAUGUACAAUGGUUGAUGAGGCGGUCUUAUCUUAAGUCUUGCAUGUAUUUUAGAGAUGACAAAAAAAUAUGUCUACAAUGGGUUAUAUCUUAGCCUUAUCUUCAAUAACUUGUCAUUCCUUAAAACAUGGUGAGACAAACUGUGCUAAGAGAUCAUCUCUUGUCUUCUCUUAAAUAAGAGAAGACAAACCUUUUCUUAUUAGUUCUCUCUCCUCCACAUCAUCAUUUAUCCUACGUGGCACUCCUAAGAUAGCAUCAUUGUACAUGCCCGUAGUAAGUUAAGGCAAAUUGUGUAGAUGAUGUAUUCCUGUGUAAUUAAAUGUUGUAUUCUCUGUGUA